UAGGGAAUCUUCGGCAAUGGGCGAAAGCCUGACCGAGCAACGCCGCGUGAAUGAAGAAGGCCUUCGGGUUGUAAAAUUCUGUUAUAAGGGAAGAAAGGUGAUAGGAGGAAAUGACUAUCAAUUGACGGUACCUUAUGAGAAAGCCACGGCUAACUACGUGCCAGCAGCCGCGGUAAUACGUAGGUGGCAAGCGUUAUCCGGAAUUAUUGGGCGUAAAGAGCGCGCAGGUGGUUAAUUAAGUCUGAUGUGAAAGCCCACGGCUUAACCGUGGAGGGUCAUUGGAAACUGGUUGACUUGAGUGCAGAAGAGGGAAGUGGAAUUCCAUGUGUAGCGGUGAAAUGCGUAGAGAUAUGGAGGAACACCAGUGGCGAAGGCGGCUUCCUGGUCUGCAACUGACACUGAGGCGCGAAAGCGUGGGGAGCAAACAG
rnacentral:rRNA from 1 species